UUAGUAGCGAAGUAGCUGAUUUCACACUGUCAAGAAAAGUCUCUAUCGAGGUUAAAGGUACCCGUACCGCAAACCGACACAGGUGGGUGAGGAGAGUAUCCUAAGGCCAGCGAGAGAACUGUUGUUAAGGAACUCGGCAAAAUGACCCCGUAACUUAGGGAUAAGGGGUGCCACCAUCAGGUGGCCGCAGAGAAUAGGCCCAAGCGACUGUUUACCAAAAACAUAGGUUUCUGCUAAGUCGCAAGACGAUGUAUAGGAGCUGACGCCUGCCCGGUGCUGGAA
rnacentral:rRNA from 1 species